UAUUUCAUUCACAAUCAAGUUCAACUUCACAAGUUGCUCUACUGAACUUACAAGAAUCCACAGGAGGGUCAAUUUUCCUCAACUCUUACUCAAUUGAGUGCACGGUCACAACCAAACCUAAGUUUCCUGCAAGAACAAGGCUGUCUUUCCUCCUAUCUCAAUCGAAACAGAUUCAAGAAACCGAGAGCUAGAGAGAGG